rnacentral:lncRNA from 1 species
CACAGGGGCUCACACCUGUAAUCUUAGCACUUCGGGAGGCCGAGGCAGGCAGAUCAUUUAGGUCAGGAGUUUGAAACCAGCCUGGCCAACAUGGUGAAACCCCGUCUCUACUAAAAAUACAAAAAUUACCUGGGCAUGCUACCUGGGCGUGGUGGUGGGCACCUGUAAUCCCAGCUACUCGGGAGGCUGAGGCCGGAGAAUUGGUUUAACCCGGGAGGCAGAGGUUGCAGUGAGCUGUGUGCAGAAGAAAUAAGGACAGGUGACAAGAACUGUCUCCUUGACCAAACUUUAGUCAGGCUCCACUGAGCCCUCUUCUCCACAAGGCCUUGGUCUGCCAGGUCCAGUUUUAGCAAGAAUCCAGAAGAGAAUCUCUCACCCUCGAUAUCUAAUGAAGUUCCUCUUAGUAAUAUUCUAUUGAUGGGGUUCAGGACCCACUACCUCAAAAAAUGGCACCUUAGUAUACUGAAUAUUUUAAGGAAUUCCACUAACCCCCCUCACCUUGCCCAUGGGCUAUAAAUCCCCAGCUGACCUUGCCAUCCUAGAGCUGAGCUCCAUGCCAUACUGAAGUCUCUCUCUCCUAUUGCAGUAGCUAAAAGAAAAUGUCUUGCUGUUUUUUGUUUUGUUUUGCUUUUUUUUUUUGAGACAGAGUCUCACUCUGUCACCCAGAAUGGAGUGCAAUGGAGUGAUCUCAGCUCACUGCAACCUCCACCUCCCAGGCUCAAGCGAUUCUCAUGCGUCAGCCUCCAGAGUAGCUGAGAUUACAGGCAUACACCACCAUGCCAGCUAAUUUUUGUAUUUUUAGGUUUUGCCAUGUUGGCCAGGCUGGUCUCGAGUUCCUGGCCUCAAGU